GAGAGGUUCUUUUAUUAAGUGGUCAAUCUCGGGUGGUAUUAAUGGUGAGUUGUUUUCUUGUGCCCAUGCAGUUGGUCAGCAUGAAGCAAUUGCAUGGGAACCGGCUGAUUGUCUUGGGCCUACACAUUGCUCAAAAGACAGUGAAGGUGUCUGAGCCGACAGGUAGAAAACAAGCAGAUGGCUGCAGCGAUCAAUGAAGAAAUGGCUUCAUCUAUGAUGGCUCGCCUUAGGACAUUGGAAUGGAGCUACACAAAGGCAUCACCAGCCUCGCCUGUGCACUGGAACAUUGGUUUGAAUAAGGCUGUCCUUCAGUGUAGAACGACCACAAGACUUGUCACCACAUACAAGGCGUAGUGCAAGCUCUAAAUAUUGUACAGGUGGCUAGAAUAAAUGACCCUCCAUGCAGUCA
rnacentral:lncRNA from 1 species